AGGGGUGUAGCUCAGUUGGUAGAGCGUCGGCUCCAAAACCGUGCGCCGGGGGUUCGAGUCCCUCCACCCCUG
rnacentral:tRNA from 1 species